rnacentral:lncRNA from 1 species
UACCUACCUAGAGGUCUUUCUGGAUUAGACAUUCCUGUGUUAUUCAGUAUGUUCAUUCAGAUGGUUUGGUUAGAGGAAGAGAGUCCUGAGCGGUGGGUUUGUAGUAGAGGUCUAGGGCAAUUAGGUGGGAAUUUUGAGAAUCAGUUUAUGUUUUUUGAGAGUCCGACAUCUCUAGGGUGGGAUGGCUGGCUUUAGGACCGGACCCAGCCAUGAUCUUUAAACAAUACUGUGUUUGACUUUGAGUGGACACACAUUCAGCCAGGUACUUCGCCAACUCAGAAGUGGAGGGAAAGUGUGGAGAAGCAGAUCCUGUUCUAGUUAUUUCAUGACAUCAGUGAGGUGAGGCUAGGAAGAUUGAGAGUUAGAUUGAAGAGUGGACUUCUUUGGAUUUUUUUGGUUUGUUUUUGUCUUUGUUUUUUGUUUUAAUUUUCUUAAAGUAUAGCUUGACUUACAGGGUUGUGUUAGUUUCAAGUGUACUGGAUUGCCAUGUUUUGUGUGGACUUUGAUUGUGGGGGCUAAUUCAUUCUGCUCUUUGGGUGUCUCUCUGUGUUUCCAGAACCCUAGGGCUGUUGGGCACCAUUUUAUUCUUGUGCCCUUUUGUUAGGCAGCUGUGGGGUCCAGCAUCACCAGCUGAUGGCUUGACCCCAAGGGUGCCCCAUGCUCAUGGACUUCCCUCAGGAGAAAAUGCCCUUCCCAUUGUCCCUAGCCUUGAGAGAAUUUUCCACUCCUCCAAGGCUCUGCCUGAGCCUUCGUUCGUGCUUACGGUCAGGGUUAAUUCUCAUCCUUCUCCCCACUUAGGCUUCUAUAGCACUGCUGCUUGUGGUUUUACUUGGUGGUCAUUUCACCUUGUCUUGGAGUCAGAUGUGUCUGUAACCCUCACUAGAGGAGCCCCUAGAAGGUAAAGUUUGUGACUGACCCAUCCUUUCAGUUACUAGUAGAUCAGUUCAGCAUUUGUUAAGAGAAUGGAUGGAUAGGGAGUGUAUAUAAUAAGGCAAAGACCAAGAGCUGCUUGUUCUCUCUCUGACCUGGGACAGCUUGCUGAACUUUUCCACGUCUUACCUUUUUCACCUGUAAUGCAAGAUAAAGAGUACUCAUAAAACGUUGUGGUGAGCAUUGGAGCUAAUGCAUGCUGCUGCUUAGGAUGCAAGCACAGAAGGGGCAAUGGUUGUCAUCAGUUGUUGCUAACAAAUUGUCCCAUUUUACUGCUUUGUAUUUACCGUGAGUUAAAAUGUAUUCUUCAGAGACCGCUUAACACCGAUGGCAGAGUGUACAAAAUGGAUUUCCGCUGUGUUCCCAGUGGUGAGGAUCUUAAUGUUGACAUGUCAAGUUUAGGGAAUUGCUGAGGCAAGUCACCCUACUGCCCUCAUUGUCCUUUUACCUGUUGCUGGCCAUGGUGGUUUUCAUAGCAGAAUCCGAUCACUUGCCCCUCUCUUCCCAACUCCUGUGCUUACCAAGCACCUGCCGUGAGUCUAGAGUCUGCGCUGGGGACACAGGGAAUGAGUUAGUAAGGCCUGUAUCUGCCAUUCAGCAUUUUGAUGGAGUUCCCGUCGUGGCGCAGUGGUUAACGAAUCCGUCUAGGAACCAUGAGGUUGCGGGUUCGGUCCCUGCCCUUGCUCAGUGGGUUGACGAUCCGGCGUUGCCGUGAGCUGUGGUGUAGUAGGCUGUAGAUGCGGCUCGGAUCCUGCGUUGCUGUGGCUCUGGCGUAGGCUGGUGGCUAUGGCUCCGAUUCGACCCCUAGCCUGGGAACCUCCAU